rnacentral:rRNA from 1 species
CACGGAGUUAGCCGGAGCUUAUUCUCCCGGUACUGUCAUUAUCAUCCCGGGUAAAGAGCUUUACAACCCUAAGGCCUUCAUCACUCACGCGGCAUUGCUGGAUCAGGCUUGCGCCCAUUGUCCAAUAUUCCCCACUGCUGCCUCCCGUAGGAGUCUGGGCCGUGUCUCAGUCCCAGUGUGGCUGAUCAUCCUCUCAGACCAGCUAAGGAUCGUCGCCUUGGUGCGCUCUUACCACACCAACUAGCUAAUCCUACGCGGGCUCAUCCUCAGGCGAUAAAUCUUUGGACUUAACGUCAUCAUCCGGUAUUAGCAGUCGUUUCCAACUGUUAUUCCGAACCUGAGGGCAGAUUCCCACGCGUUACGCACCCGUGCGCCACUAUGCCCGAAAGCAUCGUUCGACUUGCAUGUGUUAGGCAUGCCGCCAGCGUUCGUUCUGAGCCAGGAUCAAACUCU